AGUGAACGCUGGCGGUAGGCCUAACACAUGCAAGUCGAACGGCAGCACAGUAAGAGCUUGCUCUUACGGGUGGCGAGUGUCGGACGGGUGAGUAAUACAUCGGAAUCUACUUUUUCGUGGGGGAUAACGUAGGGAAACUUACGCUAAUACCGCAUACGACCUACGGGUGAAAGCAGGGGAUCUUCUGACCUUGCGCGAUUGAAUGAGCCUAUGUCGGAUUAGCUAGUUGGCGGGUUAAAGGCCCACCAAGGCGACGAUCCGUAGCUGGUCUGAGAGGAUGAUCAGCCACACGGGAACUGAGACACGGUACAGACACCGACGGGAGGAAGCAGUGGGGAAUAUUAGGCAAGGGGCGCAAGCCUGAUCCAGCAAUACCGCGUGAGUGAAGAAGGAGUUAGGGUUGUAAAGACCUGUAGUUGGGAAAGAAAAGAAGCAGGUUAAUAAGCAGCUGUUCUGACGGUACCGAAAGAAUAAGCACCGGCUAACUUCGUG
rnacentral:rRNA from 1 species